AGAAUCAACGCUGGCGGCGUGCCUCAGACAUGCAAGUCGAACGAUUAAAGCUCUCUUCGGAGAGUGUAUAGAGUGGCGCACGGGUGAGUAACACGUAAGUAAUCUACCUUUGAGUGGGGAAUAACGUCCGGAAACGGACGCUAAUACCGCAUAAUGCAGCGGCAUCGCAAGAUGACAGUUGUUAAAGAUUUAUCGCUUGAAGAGGAGCUUGCGGCAGAUUAGCUUGUUGGUAAGGUAACGGCUUACCAAGGCUACGAUCUGUAACCGGUCUAAGAGGACGGUCGGUCACACUGACACUGAAUAACGGGUCAGACUCCUACGGGAGGCAGCAGUCGGGAAUUUUGGGCAAGUGGGCGAAAGCCUGACCCAGCAACGCCGCGUGAAGGAUGAAGUAUUUACGGUAUAGUAAACUUACGAAAGAAUAGGGAAAGAAUACAAUGAACGGUACCUAAUUUAUAAGGUCCGGACUAACUACGUGACCAGACACG
rnacentral:rRNA from 1 species